rnacentral:piRNA from 1 species
UGGAAUCACAGAUGACUGAGGAGGUAUUG